rnacentral:lncRNA from 1 species
GGAUGGGGCUCUGCAUCUGAUGAGGAUCGUAACUUUUCUAGUCAUAGAUCUAGUGUAGGUAGCUCCUCAGAUGGCUCCAUCUUUGCCAGCGGCAGCUUUGCAAAAGCAUUGGUGGCAGCAGCAGACAAAGCUGGCUUUAGGCUGGAUGGAACCAGUCUUACGAGAACAGGUUGGUAGACUCCAAGUCAACACUCUUUGCAUGAGAGCAUCCUGUCCUCCAGAUGAUGGCCUUUCCUUCUGUCCUUUCCUUUCAGUGACUCUAACUGCAGACUUUUUAAAAUAUGCAUGAACACAGUAGGAUGGAUGCUCUGUUACCAGAACUCUCUUUUGAUGCUCAUAUUUUGGAGCCAAAAAUAGGCUCCUACCUUGCAUCUCUUCUAUCCUUUCUUUUUUCCUUUCUUAUGGCUCUGCUGGUUAACUGCAGUGUGUUUCCUUUUCAUAUUAAAAAGAAAUAGCCGCAACUAUGAUUGUCAUUAAACUUUCAGCAACUCACACAUUGCAAAAUCCUCACAAAAUCAGUAAUGAACCUGGUGAUUCGAAUGAUUCCGCUUUGAUCUCUACUACCUUACUCUCCCCCAUUUCUUUCUGCAGAGGCACUUUCUGGGAAGGGUUUCCUCUGCAUGGGGUGAAUGGGUCUCAGACUAUCUAACAGCUCAUUUGGCUGAUGGUCCUAAUGGUUUGACUAAGAUUUUUAAUACAGUAAUUUACUAUUUGUUUUAAAGGAUGCUAGCUAAAGAUACAUCAAAGGCAUUUGUGAGUUCAGUAAGAUAUCUAUGGGUGCACUGCUCUUCAAAGUAAAUUCAUUUUGAUUUCAAAGAGCGUAAAUAAUAGCAUCAAAGUCAAAUUGCAUAAUUAUUAUGUGCAUCUCAUGCCACAGGGUGGGGAAAGAUAUGUGCAAUUAACUCUGGUAAUUUAUAAGUAAAUGAGGUUUGGGGGAAGGAGAAAACAACAGCUUUGGCAUGAUAUAUAUGCUCCUAUAUUUGUAUAUAUACUUCUUAACUGCAAACAAUAGGAAGAUAAUAUUCACAUUUACUAUGUUGUUUUAACAAAAUCAACUAAUGAACUAUCAAAUGCAUGCUUCAGUUUAAAUGGCACUCAAAUGGUAAAGAAAAAAGGCUUUGGACCUUGCUAUACGUUCAGGUUAUAAAAUUAUAUCUUGGAUAUUGUCCUAAGUUUCCCCAUCGUUAUUUCUUUCUAACAUGCAUUAAAUAUUCCUCAAACCAAAUGUAAGCAUGUCUCAGGCAUUGCCAAGGUUUAAUUUUAUAUAGACUCCAAACUAAAAUAUGUUGUGAUAAACCUGGUUAUUUGAAUUUUCUUGCUGCCCAAGGCAUAAGUCAGAAUCUUUAUGUUGCCUGAGUGCUUUUUGUGGCAUUUGCUAUAGGCAAAGAAGGGAGAGGGUGCAAGGGAGCUAAUAAAUUAGAAGGCAUAAGUGCAUCAGCACCAUGUAUGCUAAUCGCUCAUAAAGCAUCCAGUGAUAUCGUCACACUGACUCGGGAACGUGUAACUACAUAUGAUAAUUUUGUAUGAAGUGAAAAUGCGCACAAGAGAAUAAAUACAUGCACAUAAACCAGUCCUCUCUUACAAUAACAAACUUAGUAUUAAAAUAAUUCACUGUACAAAGUGGAUUCACUGACCCUUUUCCCAGAAUAAAUUCCAUGUACAUAUUCUAAGCCAUCAUAAAGAAAAAGAGCACGUUUCAUUUUAAAAUGUAGAAUGCCAAGACUGUUAAAUAGGGUAAUAUUGCACAGAAAACAUAUAUCACAUUUUGGCUUAUACACUGAGACUAUAAUCUGCUACCUUCUGCACUGCUAAAAGGUAGAAUUCAUUGUGUAUGAACAUUAAGUGGCAAGGUCAAUUUUAUUUAUGCAUCUCAGCAGACCUUUUGUGUAAACUUUUAAAUGUUACGACUCCAAAACAGUGUUUAGGAUUCUAAGAGUAAAACUUGACUAUUCAAAUAAAACAGUACACAAUUCAAUUCUUAAAAUAUAUAUAUAUAUAUAUAAC